AAUCAUUAAGUUAAAAACAUUUGUUUUGAAAGCAUUAUAAGAGCUAAAGCUCAAUGAUUU
rnacentral:tRNA from 1 species